GCUGUACCACCCAGUCACUUUCUCCUCUGAUCUUUUGGAGUUCUGCUCGCUUUAUUAAAUAAAACGGCCGGACCAAGAGUCAGACCUUGCCUCGGGUUUCUAGGAGGUGGGAUGGAGUGAGGCCGGGCACGCUUCCCGGCUGGGCAAAAUCAGGAAAAGCCCCCCAAGAAAUGAGGGUGUCAGAGACUGAAGCACCCAGGUUGGGGAGGAUCAGAAGGAUUUUGCAUAAAAAUGGGCCGUGACCUCAAUCUCAGGCCCGUUCUGGACUUCAGGGUGCCUGACGCUUCUCUGCAGCUUCCAAAAUCAAGACAAAGCGGGGCACGAGGGGGAAGCAGGGAAGAAGGCGAGCCGUUUCCGAUCCUCCAUCCCACCAAGAAGGGCAGCUGAGAACCUCCGAUCCUAGAGAGGCCUGCCUGAAAAGUAUGGCCCUCUCACCUACCCGACAGAGCUCAUCAGCCCCUGCUAAAGACCCCAACAAGAGCGGGAGCCCUCGGCCUCCCACGGCAGCUCCAUCCCCUUUGGGACACUCUCGCCCCCCCAAUAAGAGCCGAAAUCUGCCUCCGGGGGACUUGUACCUCUGCCUCUGGAAGAUGCUUCAAGUCUGCUGUCUCCCAGCCCAUCCUGUGCCUCAUCCCAAGAAAGACAGGAAGCCAAAAAAGCCCUGCACCGGGGAAACCUGGCUUAGAGGACUUACUUCUUACUGCGAGACUUGGGGCACUGACCUCAGCCUCUUCUGACCUGAUGACCUCAUGCUUCAUAGGACUGGAGAGGAGAGGGAGGAGGCAGCUCGAGGAACGCAGAGAAUUCCUGGAGGGCUGGAGGAGUCUUUGGCCUCUGAGGAAUUUCUCGGUCCAUUCCUUCAGGUCCCAGAAGGCUUCUGGAGUUGACGGCUGAAGGCCGAAGCACAGGGGAGCCGGGGCACUAGACGUGGGGAUGCCCUCAGGACUGUCAUCUGGUUCGGAUGAAGUCGUUUCUGCCUCUCAAGAUGUCAUCAGACCUUCAAAAGAGAGGGGAAAUGUUUCCGGUUAAGAGACCGGUCUUGGAGGGGGAGAGUCCCAAAGGCAGCAGACUGACUUUUUUAUGCAAAUCAAACAACUUUUGGGGGAGUGCUGGCUGGGAUUUUCCAAGAUAUCUAAAACUGUUAAGAACUAAGAUCAAUGGGGAGCAUCAUUAAACUGAAACCGGACUUGGGGUCUCAAGCUUAUUCCUGUACAGCCGCUAGAGUCCUCCUCACCAUGCCAUAAAUUCAGCAUGUUUUGAGGCACUUAAAUUUUUUAAAAAAAAUUAAUUUUAAAAAUCUCUCACCUUCUGCCUUAGCAUCAAUACUGUGCUUUAGUUCCAGGGCAGAAGAGCAAUAAGGGUUAGGCAAUGGGGAUUAAGGGACUUGCCCAGGGUCACACAACUAAGAAGUGUCUGAGGUCACAUUUGAACCCAGGACCUCUUGUCUUUAGGCCUGGCUCUCAAAUAAAGCCACCUAGAUUCCCCUGAGGCACUUUUUAUUCAAUUAUGAAUGGCCUAUUAAGCGUGAUCUUAUAUAGAGACAUGAAAAUAUAGAAUAAGCUUUUAAAAAACCGAAUGAAACUAAAUUUUAAGUGAUUUGGUCAGAUAAACUAUUGUGGUGCCAUGGAAAGAGAAAUCCCUCUGGAGCUGGAGAACCUGGUUCAAAUCUAACUUUGACAUUCCUUGUUUAAACUUAGACAAAUACUUGCAUAAACUUGGAAUGCCUGGGCCUCAGUUUCCUCAUCUGUGAAAUGAGGGGAUUAGGCUAGAUGGCCUCUCAGGUCCUGUCCAGUUCUUAGGAUUCACACAUGUGUGGUCAGAUUUUGGGGGCAGAUAGGACUUUUUAAUGAGUUGUAGAGAAUCUCUUUAACUGUUUUUGUUUAUUUCCACAACUCUUAGGUAAGAGGAAUUAGGCGGAUUUUUCUCUAAACCACGGAUUCGUAAUCUUCGUGGGUGUCCUGGGCUGCUCAGGCAGUGUGGUGAAGCCAAAAUAUUCUUAAACGCACACAAUAAAACACACAAGACUCACAAGGAAAACAAUUAUAUUGAAAUAAAUAAAAUUAAUGAAAUAUUUUCAACAAUGAGUCUUACUUAAGAAUUCCUUCCAUGAAUGUUUUUGACUUUAAAAACAAGCUUAAAAAAAUGUUUUCCCCUCAAAGGAUUGUAGAAUAAGAUUUCACUAGAGCAGUAAAAAGCAUUUUCUUCCAAGUGAGCAAGGCUUUUAUGCCUCUGACCCCGGCUUCUGGCUCUCUGCUAGAUGCCCAAAGCUCACUCGGCUCCGUCCGCCUCGGCAUCUCGUAGAGACCACUAAUAAGCCCUUCUCGGAAUUCUCUGCUGCCCCACCUCCGGGCUCGGGCCCAAGGGGAGGCAGAGAGAUGCUAAAUGAAGGGACGGCGGAAUCAGAGGCCAGACAGGGAGGCUGGGCAGAGAUGCCAGCGAUGGCUGGCAACGCAAAGACAGAGGCAUCCCCCCAAUACCACAGCCUGAAACAACCAGGGCUCGUAUUUCUUUGAAAUACUCUCGCUUCUGAAGCAGGAAAAAAAUGAUAUUUGGACCCACCCAAAGAGUAUCCCUGUCCAGAGAUCCCAAAGAAACAUUUAUUUAUUUUUCAUAGGCUUUCUGGAGAGAUUCCAGCCCAGGGUAGCAUUUCUAUAAUUACUAUGAUCACAUAAUAAGGAAGAGUUUCUUAAUUUUCAGCGCCUUAUGGGAAAGCUUCUUGGGAGGGAAAAAGAGUAUUUUUUAUAUUAAGAUGAGUAAUAUGGAAACUUUAUCCUAUUUCUUCCGACAGUAUAAUGUAGCUUAAAUUAUACAGUACCCUUUCGGCUUUUUAAUCAGAUUAAUUUCGAGGAAUGUCUUUUUCCUAUUUAAGGAGCAUCUGUUCCCGUCUCCUCCUCCCCCCCGUCCUCCAGAACUCGGGCCUCCUUGAGAAUAUUUGAGCCCUCUGACCCUGCCGCCGACACAGUGUUUCCUGACCCAGGAGGCAGCAAUGGAGAGGCACGCUCAAUGCCGAAUCUCGAGGCGCUCUGGGAAGAUGCUUGUCUUGCUUCCAAAGGGAAGGGAUGAAGGAGAUCCGAAACGCGGCAUAUUGGGGUUCAUCUUAACCUGACAGACCGCAGGGGAGGGGGAAAGACUUCAUGAGAGAUGCACAGGAAAAAGGAAGACGUCAAAUGAGACCGACCAUGCUAACAUCCCAGGGUCAGCCUGCCCUUUCAAUACAGCAGGUGCGCGCAUCCCCAGAGCAUCCUCCCUGCCAGCCAUGUGACCUCCCUGGCCCGGGGCAUUAUGGAUCUGCAGGAGCUGAAGGGGUCUGCCUCACCCGGCACCGUUCUGCCAUCUGUAAAAACAAAGGAGGAAGUCCAGACUACGCUAAGGCUCUUAAUCAGCGGAUGGCCUUCUUUGAGAUGACUGGAAUUGGAGGUUUCUGGCUCCCCAUCCGGCCUCCUUUCCUUCAUGCCACCCCGGAUUGAAGCAUUCGAAACAACAUGCUAAGGAACAACAACGGCCCCGUAAGAAUUUUUCAAACAAACCCAUUUAUCCAAGCUGAUGGCAAAAAAUAAAUCAAAAAUAAAAAUC